CCUAGUAAGCGUGAGUCAUCAGCUCAUGUUGAUUACGUCCCUGCCCUUUGUACACACCGCCCGUCGCUACUACCGAUUGAAUGGCUUAGUGAGACUCUCGGAUCGGGUUUUGGGAACCGGCAACGGAUCCUUUCUUCUGAGAAGUUUGUCAAACUUGGUCAUUUAGAGGAAGUAAAAGUCGUAACAAGGUUUCCGUAGGUGAACCUGCGGAAGGAUCAUUAGAAUAUUCGGGAAUUUUUCCCUAAAUAUCUUAUUCAAAAAUUUCCAUUCUAAAAAUAAAAUUUUAAAUUUCAUUAAAGAAUUAAGACACUUUCAACAACGGAUCUCUUGGCUCUUGCAUCGAUGAAGAACGCAGUGAAAUGCGAUACGUAAUGUGAAUUGCAGAAUUCCGUGAAUCAUCAAAUCUUUGAACGCAAAUUGCACUCCUUGGUAUUCCGAGGAGUAUGCUUGCUUGAGGGUCGAAUCAUAUUAUCGUUUUAUAACGGAUCUGGGUUUUUCCAAAUUUUUUUUAAACCUUGGUAACCUAAAAUUUAUCUUAAUAAUAUUUGUAAUAUUGAAAAUGUGUAUCUUACGUUCACGUGAGUUUAUUGACAAUUAUUAUGAAUUUAUUACGUCGUAUUAUUCACUCGAUUUUUUUAACGAUCGGGGCGAAAAUGAUACAAUUUUUUAAAAUUCGACCUCAAGUCAAGUAAGAAUACCCGCUGAACUUAAGCAUAUCAAUAAGCGGAGGAAAAGAAACUAACAAGGAUUCCCUUAGUAACGGCGAGUGAACUGGGAAGAGCUCAAAUUUAAAAUCAUCAGGGUUUCCUUGAUGAGUUGUAAUUUGAAGAAAGUGUUUUGAUGUUCGGGUUUUAUCUAAAUCCUUUGGGAUAAGGUAUCAUAGAGGGUGAGAAUCCCGUUCGUGAUUAAACCUCGGAUGUCACUUAAUUCAUUUUCUAAGAGUCGAGUUGUUUGGGAUUGCAGCUCAAAAUGGGUGGUAAAUUUCACCUAAGGCUAAAUAUAUGCGAGAGACCGAUAGCGAACAAGUACCGUGAGGGAAAGAUGAAAAGAACUUUGAAAAGAGAGUUAAAUAGUACGUGAAAUUGUUGAAAGGGAAACGAUUGAAGUCAGUCAUGCUAGUGAGGAAUCAACUCGGUGGUUUUCUUCCGGGUGUACUUUCUCGCCUGGUAGGUUAGCAUCAAUUUCGUUCAUCAUUAAAUGAUCGGGGUAAUGUGGCUUCUCUUCGGAGUAGUGUUAUAGACCUUGGUAGAUGUGAUGAUCGGGAUUGAGGAUUGCAGCGAAUGCUAUUUGGCUAGUCCCCUGAUUUCUGAUGGUCACCUCGCCUUCGACAGCUUGCUGACGUGGGUGGGUUCUGAUUGUCUAGAUGUUAGAGUGAUCAUAUAUUCGCUAAGGGUGCUGACGUAAUGGCUUUAAACGACCCGUCUUGAACACGGACCAAGGAG
rnacentral:rRNA from 1 species